rnacentral:tRNA from 1 species
GGGGAUUUAGCUCAGUGGUUCAAGUGCUUGCCUGGUAAGCAUGAGUUGUGGGUUCAAUCCCUGGUACCCA